UUCAACCUUGCAAGCUGACCUGUGGGUGACAAAGGAUACAAACAAGAAAGGUGACAUGUAAAGUCUGUGAUGCUGUCAAGCUGGUGUAUUAUUUGGCUGGAGGCCAUGCACAAAGACACAGAGAGAGAGAGAGAGAGAGACAGACAGGGAGAGUUCAGUGAAUAAAAGUAGAGUUCCAAUCCAUCCACCAACCAUAUGCUCAGAGAGCAUUCAAGGAUAACCACGUCAACGUUCUCCGGUUCAUAUGUCUUGAGAGGGGACACACAGGCCUCUUAUAUUCCCCCAGCCCCUUCUCUGCUCUUUCCCUUGAAGUCACAGGGCAUGGAAAAGAAAGGGGAGAGAGAAGGACCUGAAGUUUUACCAGAAAUGGCGAAAACUCCGGUUGGAUCUUAAGUCACUAACAGAACUUCCCUUCAUUUUACUCACAUAAGGUUAAAUUCUUAAUUCAUGAAAAUAAAUAAAAAUCUCAUGUUUUACAUGGAAUGGUGAAAGGCUGCCUCCCUUAAAAAAACACACAUAAAAAAAAUCUCUAGUUUUAGUUACUGUUGCCACCAAAAUCCAGAAAAUGAUAUGACCUCAAAAACAGGUGUCUCUAAUAGCAUGAGCCAGAACAUUGAUUAUUCAGCCACAUCUCCUGCUCCCUCUUUGCCACAGAACCGAAUGGGACUGUGUAGGCAUGGGACCAGCCCUCUGAGCUGUCCAGACAGGCCCUGGCAACUUCAUUCAGACUACUUCCAGCCUUAGAAGGACCAAAGGAGCAUUCUUCAUGGGUUUGCAAUUGGGCCGCUCUGUUUCCACAGCAUGGGAGAAUGGCUCCAAAUAUACAGUCACUUUCUUUUUCCUCCCCCCCCACCCUUUUUUGUUAUGACUACACCAACAUUUUUAAUUGCUUUUGAAAUGUGGUCGUUAAACUGAAAAGACUAAUGGAACAUUCCAAAGAGGCAAAACUGUUGUUUCACGUCUUUGGGGGCAGAGUUGGUGGGCUUCAGUUUCUCUCUUGCUAUGUUCCUCUUGGAAAACUAUUUGAAGGCUUUAUCUAUAAACAUAUGCAAGGUAGGAGAUAAUUUAUUCUCUUUGCUUCUCUUUUCCUCACUAACAGGGUAAGAGAGGCCACUGCUGCCCUAAGAGUGUGAAGAAAGCUUGUCUGGCAAUGGGGCAGAAAGUCUGACAGGAUAAAAUAACCCCCGGGGGCCUGGAGAACAGCAGCUCUCACCCAGAUCAGAAUUUAGAAGAAUAUGUGGAUAUGAAUGGCAUUGAUCUGCGGCCGGGGCUUGGGGACUGCAGAUGUAAAAGACUCAGCUACCAAAGAGCAGAGGCAGAAGUGGUGGAGGGAGGUGGGCCUGGAC